GGAGCAGUGGCAGAGAGGUCGAUUGCUGCCGCCUUGAAAGCGGCCGGGCUCGAGAGGGUCCCGUGGGUUCGAAUCCCACCUGCUCCG
rnacentral:tRNA from 1 species